rnacentral:rRNA from 1 species
AAACCAACAGGGAUUGCCUUAGUAGCGGCGAGUGAAGCGGCAAGAGCUCAAAUUUGAAAUCUGGUACCUUUGGUGCCCGAGUUGUAAUUUGAAGAGUACAAUCUUGGAAUCGGUCCUUGUCUAUGUUCCUUGGAACAGGACGUCACAGAGGGUGAGAAUCCCGUGCGAUGAGGAUACCUUUUCUUUGUAAGAUGUGCUCGACGAGUCGAGUUGUUUGGGAAUGCAACUCAAAGUGGGUGGUAAAUUCCAUCUAAAGCUAAAUAUUGGCGAGAGACCGAUAGCGAACAAGUACAGUGAUGGAAAGAUGAAAAGAACUUUGAAAAGAGAGUGAAAAAGUACGUGAAAUUGUUGAAAGGGAAGGGUAUUUGAUCAGACUUGGUUUUUAGUUAUCUCAUCUCCUUGUGGGGUGGGCUCUAACUUUCUACUGGGCCAGCAUCAGUUUUGGUGGCAACAUAAUUGCAGUUGAAUGUGGCUCCUCGGAGUGUUAUAGCUUCUGUUGAUAUUGCCUACCGGGACUGAGGUCUGCGGAUUUAUCCUAGGAUGCUGGCGUAAUGAUCUAAUACCGC